AACCCUCAACCCCCCUGUUUUGUAAUGAAGCAGGCGUCUGGGCUUGGAUUCUGGCUGUUUUGCAGGCCCUGUCAUAGGGUCAGCUCAGCUGAAAUGUACGAGCAGCUUGUAUUUCGAUACUACAGAAGGCUUCACUCGGCGUAAUAAUACUUAUUCUCGUCAAGUUGAUUGCAGUCUUACCGUUAGACGGCGCUUAUAACACGCUUCACCUCGGUGAAACACUUGAAC
rnacentral:misc_RNA from 1 species